rnacentral:rRNA from 1 species
UACAGAGGUCCCAAGCGUUGUUCGGAUUCACUGGGCGUAAAGGGUGCGUAGGCGGUCGGGUAAGUCUGAUGUGAAAUCUCACAGCUUAACUGUGAAACUGCAUUGGAUACUGCCUUGCUUGAGUACUGGAGAGGGAACUGGAAUUUACGGUGUAGCAGUGAAAUGCGUAGAGAUCGUAAGGAAGGCCAGUGGCGAAGGCGAGUUCCUGGACAGUUACUGACGCUGAGGCACGAAGGCCAGGGGAGCAAACGGG